rnacentral:rRNA from 1 species
ACGUAGGGUGCAAGCGUUAAUCGGAAUUACUGGGCGUAAAGCGUGCGCAGGCGGUUAUGUAAGACAGAUGUGAAAUGCCCGGGCUCAACCUGGGAACUGCAUUUGUGACUGCAUGGCUAGAGUGUGUCAGAGGGGGGUAGAAUUCCACGUGUAGCAGUGAAAUGCGUAGAUAUGUGGAGGAAUACCGAUGGCGAAGGCAGCCCCCUGGGAUGCCACUGACGCUCAUGCACGAAAGCGUGGGGAGCAAACAGGAUUAGAUACCCUGGUAGUCCACGCCCUAAACGAUGUCUACUAGUUGUUGGGUCUUAAUUGACUUAGUAACGCAGCUAACGCGUGAAGUAGACCGCCUGGGGAGUACGGUCGCAAGAUUA